GACGAACGCUGGCGGCGUGCCUAAUACAUGCAAGUCGAACGCUGAAGAGAGGAGCUUGCUCUUCUUGGAUGAGUUGCGAACGGGUGAGUAACGCGUAGGUAACCUGCCUGGUAGCGGGGGAUAACUAUUGGAAACGAUAGCUAAUACCGCAUAAAAUUGAUUAUUGCAUGAUAAUUAAUUGAAAGAUGCAACUGCAUCACUAACAGGUGGACCUGCGUUGUAUUAGCUAGUUGGUGAGGUAACGGCUCACCAAGGCGACGAUACAUAGACGAACUGAGAGGGUGAGCGGCCAGACUGGGACGGAGACACGGCCCAGACUCCUACGGGAGGGAGCAGGAGGGAAUCGGGGGCAAGGGGGGGAACCCUGACCGAGCAACGCCGCGUGAGUGAAGAAGGUUGUCGGGUCGGAGAGCUCUGUUGUCAGGGAAGAACGGGCGUGAGAGUGGAAAGUUCACAGUGUGACGGUAUCUUACCAGAAAGGGACGGCUAACUACGUG
rnacentral:rRNA from 1 species